UNUGACUUGAGUGCAGAAGGGGAGAGUGGAAUUCCAUGUGUAGCGGUGAAAUGCGUAGAUAUAUGGAGGANCACCAGUGGCGAAAGCGGCUCUCUGNUCUGUCACUGACGCUGAGGCUCGAAAGCGUGGGUAGCGAACAGGAUUAGAUACCCUGGUAGUNCACGCCGUAAACGAUGAGUGCUAGGUGUUAGGCCCNUUCCGGGGCUUAGUGCCGGAGCUAACGCAAUAAGCACUCCGCCUGGGGAGUACGACCGCAAGGUUGAAACUCAAAGGAAUUGACGGGGGCCCGCACAAGCGGUGGAGCAUGUGGUUUAAUUCGAAGCAACGCGAAGAACCUUACCAGGUCUUGACAUCCCGAUGCUAUUCUUAGAGAUAGGAAGUUACUUCGGUACAUCGGAGACAGGUGGUGCAUGGUUGUCGUCAGCUCGUGUCGUGAGAUGUUGGGUUAAGUCCCGCAACGAGCGCAACCCUUAUUGUUAGUUGCCAUCAUUAAGUUGGGCACUCUAGCGAGACUGCCGGUAAUAAACCGGAGGAAGGUGGGGAUGACGUCAAAUCAUCAUGCCCCUUAUGACCUGGGCUACACACGUGCUACAAUGGUCGGUACAACGAGUUGCGAGCCGGUGACGGCAAGCUAAUCUCUGAAAGCCGAUCUCAGUUCGGAUUGGAGGCUGCAACUCGCCUCCAUGAAGUCGGAAUCGCUAGUAAUCGCGGAUCAGCACGCCGCGGUGAAUACGUUCCCGGGCCUUGUACACACCGCCCGUCACACCACGAGAGUUUGUAACACCCGAAGUCGGUGAGGUAACCUUUUAGGGGCCAGCC
rnacentral:rRNA from 1 species